GAGUAAGUUAGGUGGGUGGACCAUUACCCAGGUGAGCAAGAAGGCAAGGAGAGAGAUGCUGCCAAGAGUCCUGUCCUUCUCUGAACAAACAUUAAAUGCAAGACAAGGAACUGAAACUCCAUGGCCACCAACCAACAACUGGCGAGCCCCUGGGAACCGCCAUUCUACCUGCUACCUCUACGAAUUUGACUGCUUUACAUCCCUCAGGUUAACUUUACUUGAUGAUCAGAGGUGGGAUCCAGAGAAAACCCGAGGCUGGUGAGCAAACAGAAAAUCCCCAAAGAGGAAAAUGCCAUCCCUGUGAUUUGGAGAAAAGGAACUUGGUCAGAUACUAAGAACAGGACCUGGUCUAGUAGCAGAGGGGAGGCCAUGUGGGACCCUGUGUUGCAGCACACGAUUAGCUCUUCAUAUUUUGCAAGAGGAACUGACCGGGCUAUGCUCCUGUUCCCCAGCCUGGCACUCACCCUGGGUCAUGUGUCAGUCCUGUGGAAGCCAGCAUCGUACGGCACCUUCCCGAUGAAAUCCAAGGCGCGCUGGCAGCUGCUAGGCAGGAAAGCCACCGGAGACCGCGCCUCCCAGAAGGUGGUGGUUUCAAAGUGAGUGCUGUGUUUCCAUGGACUCCUCAAGGAAAAUUUCCAGGUCCCAUUUGUGCAGCAGUAUUAACUGAAAGCAGACAACAGAAAUAACUCAAGGAUGAAGUUCAGCAUGGAUGACAAGCAGCUAAGAAAUCUGCAGAAUUAAAGUAGCUCUGACAUGAUGAACCUUCCAGACAAGAUUUGGUAGGGGAAGCAUGUAAAUGCCAAAGAAGCAUCAUAAAGAGGAAAAAAGGAGAGGAAUCAGGAGACUCAAGGUCAUUAUCAAGGGGCUGCCCCAGGUACAUAAUGAAAGGAAGACUACUUGCCACUGGCUUAUAUUAAAUACAUAUUGUGUGGAUGACAAGAAGCAAAGCGUGAUUGUACUAGACGUGUUUCUAAGUUCGCGCCUGGUCCCCAGCCUUCUCUGCUCCUGCUGCCUGUGGGGGAUCCUUCCCCACCCAGCCACCCGCCAACAGCAAUCACCAGCUGAACCAGAGAGGGUGAAUUUGAAGGAGGGAAUCCGUGUCUCAUUAACGUUUGCACCACCACGUCACCCCAUAUUUCUGCACUAAAGGCUUGACCCACAGAAAUAAAUCAAGAUGACGUAACACAAGUAAACACCGCAUAAUUUAGUUGGUGAAGGU